rnacentral:rRNA from 1 species
UCUUCCGCAAUGGGCGAAAGCCUGACGGAGCAAUGCCGCGUGAGUGAUGAAGGUUUUCGGAUCGUAAAGCUCUGUUGCCAGGGAAGAACGUCCUUAAGAGUAACUGCUUAAGGAGUGACGGUACCUGAGAAGAAAGCCCCGGCUAACUACGUGCCAGCAGCCGCGGUAAUACGUAGGGGGCAAGCGUUGUCCGGAAUUAUUGGGCGCAAAGCGCGCGCAGGCGGUCAUUUAAGUCUGGUGUUUAAUCCCGGGGCUCAACCCCGGAUCGCACUGGAAACUGGAUGACUUGAGUGCAGAAGAGGAGAGUGGAAUUCCACGUGUAGCGGUGAAAUGCGUAGAGAUGUGGAGGAACACCAGUGGCGAAGGCGACUCUCUGGGCUGUAACUGACGCUGAGGCGCGAAAGCGUGGGGAGCAAACAGGA